AUGCUUCAGAAGAAGCACCAGCUCAGGAAUAUGUUUCUGGAGCUGAUCGAAACAUACCAGAAGCCAGAUGUGGAACUGCUUCAGGGUGUAGAGUUGACCCUAGAAAGCUAUGUGUCAGUGUUGGUCUUCACGCCACUUCCUCUGAGGCCACAGCUCAGUGCCCCUCCCAUGCCUGGAAUGAAAGAGAAGCUCAAUCAGUACCGGGUGGAGAUUGCCUUCAAUGAAACUAUGGGGAAUCAAGGUCCUGGGAGCAGUGUUAGACAUGACCAUCAAUAUGCGGUUUUGAAUUCUGAAGACUCCCUCCACUUCACUGCUUUUGGAUGCCAAGUCUUCAGCUCUGGGAAACAUUACUGGGAUGUUAGUGUGGAUGAGUUUUCGACCUGGGCCUUGGGUGUUGUUACUGAUUCUGUCAUAGGGAGCAACCUCAGUGAAUCUGAGGACGUUUUCCUCCUUUUGUUUGUGAAAGAGAAAACACUUUACACCAUUUUUACCACCUUCCCAUUGCUGUCUCAAUAUGUAGAGAAGCCUCUGGGCCGGGUUGGUGUGUUUCUUGAUCUUGAGCAUGGCAGUGGUUUUCUAUUUCUUCCAGCAUAUCCUCCUCAAGAAGCUAACAGAACAUCACUUCUUUGUUACUGACACUGUUUCUUCUUCAACAAGUUAUACAACAGCCAAGUCUGCUGCUCCUACAUUUGGUGUCCUUUCAAGUCUGCCAUUGCCUGUUCCCACAAUGGAAACUUCAACACCGAUAAGCCAAAAUGGUUUUGGGUACAAGAUGCCAGAUGUCCCUGAUGCAUUUCCAGAACUCUCAGGAUUGUGUCACAACUCACAGAUAUGAAUGAACAAGAGGAAGUAUUACUAGAACAGUUUCUGAGUUUACCUCAACUAAAACAAAUUAUUAAUGACAAGGGUGAUUUAGUAAAAAGUAUUGAGGAAUUAGCAAGAAAACUCUCCUCUUGGAGCCCAGUUUAGAAGCCAAAAGGCAAACUGUUUUAGAUAAGUAUGAGUUACUUACACAAAUGAAAUCUACGUUUGAAAAGAAGAUGCAGAGACAACAUGAACUGAGUGAGAGUUGUAGUGCAAGUGCCCUACAGGCAAGAUGGAAAGUCGCUGCACAUGAAGCUGAGGAAGAAUCUGAUAAUAUUGCUGAAGAUUUCUCGGAGGGAAAAACUGAAAUAGAUGAUUUUCUCAGUAGCUUCAUGGAAAAAAGAACAGUUUGCCACUGUAGAAGAGCCAAGGAAGAGAAACUUAAACAAGUGAUAGCAAUGCACAGCCAACUUCAUGGUCCAUUACAGAUUUUCCUGAAAACAUGGACCGCCAAGAGAGAAAUGAGAAAUAAAACUAAGUACAUUAUUUUAGAUUUAAGGACUGAAGAUUUUCCUCAAAUAACUAUGGUUCUGAUUGUAGCAAUAUUGAUAGCUGAUUUUGUGAUCUUGGAUGGGGAAUUCAAUGUACCUCUCUAA